rnacentral:rRNA from 1 species
AGCCAUACCGCGUGGGUGAAGAAGGCCUUCGGGUUGUAAAGCCCUUUUGUUGGGAAAGAAAUCCAGCUGGCUAAUACCCGGUUGGGAUGACGGUACCCAAAGAAUAAGCACCGGCUAACUUCGUGCCAGCAGCCGCGGUAAUACGAAGGGUGCAAGCGUUACUCGGAAUUACUGGGCGUAAAGCGUGCGUAGGUGGUCGUUUAAGUCCGUUGUGAAAGCCCUGGGCUCAACCUGGGAACUGCAGUGGAUACUGGRCGACUAGAGUGUGGUAGAGGGUAGCGGAAUUCCUGGUGUAGCAGUGAAAUGCGUAGAGAUCAGGAGGAACAUCCAUGGCGAAGGCAGCUACCUGGACCAACACUGACACUGAGGCACGAAAGCGUGGGGAGCAAACAGGAUUAGAUACCCUGGUAGUCCACGCCCUAAACGAUGCGAACUGGAUGUUGGGUGCAAUUUGGCACGCAGUAUCGAAGCUAACGCGUUAAGUUCGCCGCCUGGGGAGUACGGUCGCAAGACUGAAACUCAAAGAAAWUUGACGGAA